rnacentral:rRNA from 1 species
UACAGGGGGUGCAAACGUUGUUCGGAUUCAUUGGGGGUAAAGCGCACGUAGGCGGUUCGUUAUGUCGGAUGUGAAAGCCCUUGGCUUAACCGAGGAAGUGCAUCCGAAACUGGCGAGCUAGAGUACUAAAGAGGAUCGCGGAAUUCCCGGUGUAGAGGUGAAAUUCGUAGAUAUCGGGAGGAACACCGGUGGCGAAGGCGGCGAUCUGGGUAGAUACUGACGCUGAGGUGCGAAAGCGUGGGGAGCAAACAGG